rnacentral:rRNA from 1 species
AACGAACGCUGGCGGCAUGCCUAACACAUGCAAGUCGAACGAAGGCUUCGGCCUUAGUGGCGCACGGGUGAGUAACGCGUGGGAACCUGCCUCUUGGUACGGAAUAACGUCGGGAAACUGACGCUAAUACCGUAUAUGUCUGCGGAUGAAAGAUUUAUCGCCGAGAGAGGGGCCCGAGUCUGAUUAGCUAGUUGGUGAGGUAACGGCUCACCAAGGCGACGAUCAGUAGCUGGUCUGAGAGGAUGAUCAGCCACACUGGGACUGAGACACGGCCCAGACUCCUACGGGAGGCAGCAGUGGGGAAUAUUGGACAAUGGGGGCAACCCUGAUCCAGCAAUGCCGCGUGAGUGAUGAAGGCCUUCGGGUUGUAAAGCUCUUUUGCCAGGGACGAUGAUGACGGUACCUGGAGAAUAAGCCCCGGCUAACUUCGUGCCAGCCGCCGCGGUAAAAC